GCCCGCUAACAAAUUGAAAACUGUACCUAUACGCCUUAUUUGAUUCUUAUUUUAAGUCCAGAUUUAUAGUACUCGUAUUGUCAUCUUAGAAAGUCUUACUGCUUAAAAUACUACAAUAGGGACCAAUUUGACAAUGAUUGAAUUUAGUAGUGUCAACCCUGUGACUAUGACCCGUGUACAUGGCAAAAUCCGAAAUACACUGUUUGGUGGUGCGCCUGUCAGAUGAGAAACGUACCGAUAAGUAAUAGGUAACAGGUGAAUAUUAAUUAUGUGGAAGAGUGCUGUAAUUUUUUUUAAUCAACACCAUAAUAGCAUUGUCCUAUAUUAGAUAUAUAUAAAAUUGAAUUCUUUGAUUUGUCGUUUUUACCCCAUGACGGCUGAUAAAUUGGACCUCGUCAUUUUAGUAUUAUAGUUGUUCCCUAUGAUAUAAUCUUUCUAAUUUUAAUGCCAAAUUAGAGUUUUUACUCCAUUUUCACGGUCCACUGAACAUAGAAAAUGAUAGUGCAGAUGGGGCAUGCGUGUACUGGGGACACAUUCUUAUAUAUCUAUACUUCUAAAUCUGAAGACCGUUUUUAUGUAUGUUUUAUAUAUAAAGGUAUAUAUACUUGAUAGGGCAUACUGAAAAUUUCACCCCUUUACAUCUAGAAUGGUAAAAGUGACGCCAACAAAAUUCAAACUUGACUUGUGUUUUGUGGUUGCGUAUAAGUUUCAUAAAAUUUGGUUCAGGCAAACUAAAGUAAGAGAACAGAAAUCAAUUUUGGUGUGUAUGGACGUACGUACAAGUAAGAGACGUACAUACUUACAGAAAAAAACAAGGAUAAAACUCAAUAUGGUGGGGGCAUAACAAUAGUAGUAUGACCUCAGGAAUAAAAAAGUUUAUAUAUACUAGAUUCAUACAAUGUUGAUCUGAGGUACACGUGCUUAUAACCCUGAAACACAUUUUAGUUGCUGCUGCGUAAUUGCCAUUGAGGCAAUGACAUUUGAGAUUUUUGUUUUAAGCCAUUUAUUUAAUCAUUCUGUGGGGACACAUUAUUAAUUAUAGGUCAAUCUUAAAAAAUCAUACUGCCCCAGGAAUAAAGUGAGGAUAAAAAGUUCUGGAUCCGCCACUGCAUUGUUAAGCACUAAGAAAGUCAUUUUGCUAGUACAUGGACAAAUGUUAUUAAAUCAUUAUAAUAAUUUCUACAGCACUUGUCUUUAGCUUGAUCUCGGUCUUGAUACACUGAACUAUAAUAUUCUUAGAAGUAGUUGAUGACUCAGUUGCUUUUAAAUUAUACGGAUGCUAUGAUACUAAUUGUCAUUAAGACAAUGUUUUUUUCUGUUGUCAGUAUGAUCCAGUUGAACAUGCUGAACGAGUGAAGGUCCUUAUAUCCACAUUGGAAUGUGAAACAGUUAGUACUUAACGAAUUAAAAGUUUUCAAAUGAUUUUUGGCAUCAAAAUUUUCAGAUCGAUGUCAGUUUGACAAAAACAAUGCACUUUUCUAUUUAUUUCUAUAAGCCGGUAUUUACCUUUAAUCGUCCUUGGCGUGAGACAUAAGCCAUAUAAUUAUCGAUUAUUUUAUAUUCUAUCACCUGUGUAUUGUUAAAAUAAAUCAAACCAUUAUCACUUGUCAAUUAUCCGACAAUUUUGUCAAAUAUUAACUUGUUCUCGCAUACCGGACUCUUUCGAUACACUCGGGCUUUUACUUAUUCAAUAAUAAACAGUUGUAAAUAUCGUACAUAGUAAAAAA
rnacentral:lncRNA from 1 species